AUCCUCCUCAGAGGCUGAAGUUUGGUGGUGAGUGGUCAGAGCCAGUCCUUGCAAGCUGACUGGCCUGGGUAAAUCCCUCCCACUGACCUGCCAACAGCAACCAAGGCUCAACUACAAGAGGAGGGUGUACUCAGCCGACACAAAGGGUGCACCUCAAAUACCCAGUUUGGGU